rnacentral:rRNA from 1 species
UACGUAGGGCGCAAGCGUUGUCCGGAAUUAUUGGGCGUAAAGAGCUCGUAGGCGGCUUGUCGCGUCGGAUGUGAAAGCCCGGGGCUUAACCCCGGGUCUGCAUUCGAUACGGGCAGGCUAGAGUUCGGUAGGGAGAUCGGAAUUCCUGGUGUAGCGGUGAAAUGCGCAGAUAUCAGGAGGAACACCGGUGGCGAAGGCGGGUCUCUGGGCCGAUACUGACGCUGAGGAGCGAAAGCGUGGGGAGCGAACAGG